rnacentral:lncRNA from 1 species
CUGGAAAAUUGCAAAGUGUCACACUGUGAUAUCUCAGCCAGGUGUUGGACCCUAAGACAGUAGGAGGACAGGUAGUCACCUAAUGUCCCUGCACAGUCAGGGGAAGAUGAACUCAGGGGAGUUUGCUUUUACUGAUACUGAGUUUGAAGUGACGCAGAAGUGGGAAUGUCCAGGUAAUUUAACCUGUAAUAAUAGAACCUGGGACAUGGUCAGGUCUAGGGACGUAGACAGAGCCUCUCUGAAGUUCCAGGAGUUCUGUACCAUUUCCAAUUAUUUUGAGCUAAUUGGCAUAUCAGAAAAUAAGGAAUUGGAAAACAGGCUUAUGGAUUUUGUGGCAUACUUAACAUUUUUACAUUUAUCACGAUAACCCCUUUAGAAUAUACAAACAAUUCACCUGUGUUUUUAAUCAAGAUAAUAAUAAAGUUUCUAAAAUAUAUUUAUGUAUGAAGGAUGAAAUAGUUUGGCUCUAUAAAGGGGUAUAGGUUAGAUGAUCAUUCAUCUCACUCUGCCUGGGACAGUCUUGGUUUACACCUGUUGUCCCAGCAUAAUUAUUAAUAGCUCUCAAAAGUGUGUUCUAGUUUGGAUGAUAAAUGGUUGGGUCAACCUAGAAAUAUGUUUAAAUUUGUAUGCUGAAGGCCUAUUCCCAUACUCUCCAAGUGGCUCCAUAACGCUAUGUAAAGCUCAUUUAGGGAAACAGCAAAAGUCUCAAUGGUAGGAACAGUGGGAGUGGGUCCUAGGAACCAAUAUGGGAGUCACCCCCAUAGACUGACACUGACUCAAAUCCCCCAGGGCAUUUCCUCAGUUCAGUACAUGGAUGGGGGAUGCUCUCCAAAGCUUGACUUCCUCAAGUUGUUAAUGAUUUGAAAACCUUGUGAUCCAUGGUGUCCUGUGUGACAGUUGACAUUACCAAUGACAGACUUGAUCUUCUGGGCCCUGUGGAACCAGGUUUCCAUCCAGAUGCUGCUAUUUCUUGUGAUCUCACGCAACUUAGGAUGUCUCUCUGAACCUUUCUUUUAUCACUUGCAUAUUGUGGAAGGAUAAUACUUCCUGCUCCAGUGGUCUGGCUGUAUUAAAUGAGAUUUGUGUAAUGUGCCUGCGGCAUAUUAUGCACAAGGCACCAAACAGUCCAUUUCUUCUUUAAAAUAUGUGUAAAAUACUUAGGGUUUUAGUACAUCUUUAAGUUCCAGUUGAGAUUUGUAAGACAGAGACAAGACACUUGGGGCAAUUUCACAGUUUUGUGAGUGAAGUCCCUCUAACCUUAGGGGCCCAGUUAAACCAGAAGCUGAAUUUACCAGCAGACAGUAAUGCACAGGUUCCAUCUCUGCUCCUUAUGAACAAGGCAUAAUUCUGAAAUUCCCCACCACUGGAAAGAAAUUUAAUAUUUAAAGGUAAUUUGACCUGUACAUGCGUGUAUCAUGAAUAUUUAAUGAAACCUAUAGCAAAUGUAUUUAUAUAGCAUUAAUCUGAGGAUAUUUAUUUCUUAUUCAUAUUCUAGGAUAUUAUUUCUUGGGCAAAUGUGAAGUUACCCUCUGUAAAAAAUGCUCAGCUCUAAAGGUGCACUGAAAAAUUGGAGACUGGAGCUAUUCCGUUUUCUGCUUUAACUUGUCAACACUGCCUUUGCUCCCUAAAAAGGAGAACAAUUCUAAAAGGUUAAGAUGUAUCCCAGAGACAUUAUGGCCAUAGGGUUAGACCAUCACAUCUUCACAAGGACCCCUUUUGAUCCUUUUCUGUUUAUAUAAUGUCCAAAAAUAUAAAGAACAGUUGCACUUUUUCACUUUCCUUUCAUAUCAGUGAUUUCACUCCUUUGUGAUAUUUCAAAUGGUCAGUGCUUUAAAUUAAAAGGUAUGCAUGAUUCAAUGUAAUUAAUAAUGUGUAAUUUAGAGAAUUUUUUAAAAUUUAUUUUUCGAAUAGGUUUGGACAGAUACCUAGAAUGCAGGUGUUUUUCUUUGAUGUAGCUUCAAUGUUGGGAUUUUUUUUAAGGUGAAAACAAACAUCAACAAGAAAAACAACAAAUGAAAAGCACUGUGUCCAGAUGCAAUUUCGCACUAUUUUGUUAUGUUUUCACCACAUCAGAUGUGGUAGAUUUGGAAAGAAAAAAAUGUGACUUCUCGUCUGAUCGUUAAAAAUUUUUAUUCUUAGAGUCAAGAUCUCGCUCUGUCACCCAGGCUGGAGUGCAGUGGUGGGAUCAUAGCUCACUGCCACCUUGAAUUCCUGAACUCAAGCGAUCCUCCCACUUUAGCCUCCUGAGUAGCUGGGACUACAGGUGCACACCAACACUAUGCCUGGAUAAUUAAAAAAAAAAUUGUAGACACGGAAGUCUUGCUGUGUUGCUCAGGCUGGUGUUGAACUUCUGAUCUCAAGUGAUCCUCCUGUCCUGGAAUUCCAAAAUGUACUAUGAAGACUGAGUGUCUGAGAAAGUGUGCUUCCUGGACAAGCAUUAGCCCCCCUCCAGUGAGCCUCCCUCAUGCACCCUGCAGAUUCUGGGCUCCCUCCAAUUCCUCAAAGCCUCAAGAGGUGGAUCCCUCCUUUCUACGGAGAGCCAGCUUUCCCACUGCAUGGGGAGGCACUGCAGAGUUCUCAAUCUUGCAACAAUCACAGAGCCCACCUCUGGAGGUGCCCCACCUUUUCUCCUGGCUACGAAGCCAAAACUAAAGUUAAGUCACAGCUUACUUGAGAUGUGCUAAGCCUGUUGAAGAUGAUAUGCCAAGGAGCCUGUAAGAAAACCAUUUGUGCUGGAGGAAACCAUGGCAGUUCCCAUGGACUGGAUUUUGAGGGUGCCUGAUUAAGGUGUCCAGACAUAAGAUGGGGAUGCUCUCAAUAUAUGGGAUUUAACACCAGGGAAGAACAAAAACUUCUUGAGAGAAUGGCUCCUAGAAGUCUGGAAAACAAGCUGGCCCCCAUGCUGGGUGAAGAUCCAAAGUUCAAUGGCUAUGGCAGAUGGUAGAAGAAAGGACUAAAAGGCUCAGCACAGAGGCUAUGCUGGAGAGGGUGUAAGAUUUGAGGCCAGGGGACCCACCAGAAGAUUAUGUUCCUCAGCAAGGCCCAGACGACUCAGCAUUCCCAGGGCUGCUGCACAUGUGCUGAUGAGACAGGCACCUGCAUCUUUAACUUUUGUGAAAGUUCUGUUCUGCAGUGGGGAUGAUGGUGUCUCAAAGCAAUAGACAUCAGGCAGUAACACGUAACCACCAGCAUCCAGGAGCAAUUUGUAAUGAUUGAGAAGAUCACAGUGACGAGGAAGAUGGACAGACCCACGGAGAAUUGUGGAGAUCAUUUAUACAAUGAAAUAGGAACAGUUUUCUAAGGGAUGAAAUAGGUAGGCAGUGAAUAAUGGUACUGCCUAAUACAUGUAAUCAAAAUAACAAAUUCCACACAACUAGGAUUAUUUCUGUGAUCUACAGUCUGUCCAUUCUGAGUGGGACCUGGAGCAGGAAGAGGGUCUGCCCCAGGUGCAGGCUGCGUUCAGGCAUCCCUGCCAUGUGCACCAUGUGUCGGCGGUGGAAAGUGAUGCAGAGAUGAGGUCAUGACAGUGGGGGAUUCUCAGUGCAGAGCCCUGGGGUUCUGCAACAAAGAGAAGCCAUUUGCAAUGAAGAACUGUGCAUCAUCAUCCCACUGUACCCUGGGAGGGAAGGAGUGUUUGAGAAUAAGUGACCAUGCAUCCAGGCCUUCUAUUAUGAGCUGGAUUCUGCCAGAGUCAUCAGUUCAUCAAGCCAGACAAGCAUCAUAAUAAUCUAUCACAAAAUGGAAAUGGAACAGCUGAGAUUGAGCCCAAGCAGAACCAGAGGGCAUGAGUACGCGGCAUGAUAGCCUUGUGUCCCUCGCUCAAUUCACACUGAUGGCCCUAUGGGGGUCCCAUAAAACAAACUGAGGGAAGGAAAAUAAAUUACCAAAGUUGAUCAACAGGUAGAUUAUCUCAGUAUAGCAGUCCAAGCUAAAAUGGACAGCUGGCUGCAUUGUAGCCAUAGUCAAGGGUAGCCUUGAAAGAUAGUGGUGACAUAAGACCUUCCCAAUGAGACGGCUUUACGUGAUGCACUUGAUCAUGCACUUUAUGUAGCAGGGAGAAUGGCCUGAGCAAAGACUAUGUAAAUAUUCAUGGGCAGUGACUACAAAUAACACUGGACUGGCUGGGCAGGGGCUGAAUGGCCUGGCCUAGCUAGGCAGGGUCUGUUAUAGAAAAAGACUGGAAGAUCACAAAGAGGCAAGAAGAAAAGUGAAGAUAUCCCUUACAGCCACACUCCGGAAUAAUCUAUAAGAAGGGAAAAGGUGAAAUUGACUCAAGAAAUGCUGAUGGAUGCAGGACCUAAGGUGGUGGGGGCUGGGAAGAUCAGUCACAAAAUCUCAGAUAAUAGAACCCAAAAGACAUCACUAUUUGAAGGAGACCAAGAAAUAGCAAGAACACUCACACCGGAAAAAAAUCAAUCACUGUAAUAUGUCUAUUGCAAUAAAAUUGAACUACCUUACAAAUGUUUUGAGAAUUAAGGGUAAAUUCUAAAAUACUUCUACGUGUUAGAAAGAAUAAAUGGAAACCAGGAACAGAAAACCAAACACUGCAUAUUCUCACUCAUAAGUGGGAGUUGAACAAUGAAAACACAUGGACACAGGGAGGGGAACAUCACACACCAGUGCCUGUCAGAGGCGGUGGGGAGAGGGGAGGGAGAGCAUUAGGACAAAUACCUAGUGCAUGCGGGGCUUAAAACCUAGAUGAUGGGUUGAUAGGCACAACAAACCACCAAGACACAUGUAUACCUAUGUAAUAAACCUGCACAUUCAGAACAGGUAUCCCAGAACUUAAAGUAAAAUGAAAUAAUAAAUA